UCAUCUCUGAUUCCUGGAACCAAAUACACUUUCACUCUCUUCUCUGUGUUUGAGAGCAUCAGAAGCAGUGGAGUACAGCUUGUAGCUUUCCUUGAACCAACCUAUAUUAUUAGAAUGAAACUUCAAUUAAAUUAUCAGACACAACUAUCAGAUUCAGAGAUGGAAGAUGUUUUAGUGGAGUUCUUCAAAGCACAUGGUUUAUCACAGUUUUCCCUGAAAGUUCGCAUCAAACCGUGAAGAAAUCCAAGGAUGAAAUCGAGGAUCAUGGAUUAAUGAAAGUGUAUUUACGUUCAUUAAAGAAAUUAAGAAAUUCCAUUUCUUAAUUAAUAUUCUAUCAUGCAUCAUCACCUUUUGUCUAACCAAUGGUUAAGAUGGUUUUAUCUUUGUUAGUUUCUUUUUUUACCAGACUUGAAUCGAUUAGGAUUUGAGGAAAAUUGUUAGACACAAAAUGGCAAAUUUAGAUCAUGAAGUGAAAAAUUGCAGUCAAAAGAAAUUAAACUAUAUUCACUUUUUAUGAAAUUCAGCUUAGUUAUUUUAUUAAAUGCUUUUAGGUAAGAUAAUUUUAUUUAUUCCUUUCUGAUAUUAUUUCUCCUGCAUAUACAUUCUUUGAUUCUUCCUCUAUAGUUCACCAGAUUUGCUAAUAUUCUUGCUCUCUGUUGGUCUUCAUACUUGACAGACUCUACCUUUCCAUUGUAUUUAGUUUUGCAAUUAAAUAUUAGUUUUGAAUUUUCCUUUUUUGCCUACAUGUCAUCUGGUGAACCUUCAAUAGCAAGAAACAAUGAAAGAGAAGUCAUAGGUAGGAAGGACCCAUGACAGUGUGUGAGUAAUUAAUAAAAAAAUAAAGAAAUUCACAGAAAACACAAAAGCAGAACCACAAGGAUCAUGAGUUACUACAUUAUUUUUCUCAGAUUAUUAUUUUUCUUUUCUUUUUUUUUAACUGAAGUC